AACGAACGCUGGCGGCAUGCCUAACACAUGCAAGUCGAACGAGACCAUCGGAUCUGGUGGCUCACGCGGGCGUAAAGUGGGGGAACCUGCCCUUAUACUUGGAAUAACACCUUGACAGGGGUGCUAACACCGGAAAACGUACUCGGACACAAGAUUCAUCCUGCUUGGAUGGGCCGGCGUUGGUUUAGCCUGUUGGGAGUGUAAGAGCCUACCAAGGCGACGAUCCUUAGCUGGGCUGAGAGGAUGGUCCGCCACACUGGGACUGAGACACGGCCCAGAAUCCUGCGCGAUGGAGCAGAGGGUGAUAUUGGACUACGGGGGAAAGCCUGAUCCAGCAAUGCCGGGUGAGUGAUGAAGGCCUUAGAGUUGUAAAGCUCUUUUACCCGGGAUGAUACUGACGGUACCGGAAGAAUAAGCACCGGCUAACUCCGUG
rnacentral:rRNA from 1 species